CCCAAGUAACUGUUACACGUGAUGGAGCCCUGCUUUCCUGGAGAUGGCUGAACACCUGCCUGCCGAUGGGGAGUGGUGAAUGAAUUCCUUGUUGUGCUUUGCUUGUAUGUGCAGCCUUUGCUUUACCGGUUAAACUGUCUUUAUCUCAGCCCACGAGUUUUCUCACUCUUACCCUUCUGAUUCUCUCCCCCAUCCCACCGGGGGGGAGUGAGCGAGCAGCUGUGUGGGGCUUAGUUGCCACCUGGGGUUAAACCAUGACAUAAGGACACCCCCCCAACCCCCCCUCCAAUCUUUUGAGAGCAAGAUGACUAACUAGUUUUCUCAAAGAGACAUUCUGCAACUUUCCCUAGAUGCAAGUGUACUUCUAGAAAGCUUUGAAUUACUAAGAGGCAAACUGAUUAAAUUUAUCUUAAAUGCCCCCCUUUCUGCAGGUUAGAAAAUGGAUCCCCUGUUUUCGGUGUGUGACACAGAAUGGUUACUUUGAAAGCAGAUAUUUGGAGGCUGCCAUACACUCUUGAUUAUUCUGAGAGCCAGUGAAGAAAGAAAACAAAUAUCUACAGUAAGAGACAAGCAAGCAAUGGGAAUGACUAGAAAAGGUGAAGAGAAGUGCAGUCAGUUUUGUGGAUUUCAGCCUUUAGAAAAUAAAAAUCAAAACUGAUGAGAAUCAAACUACAGAAUAUGGGAAAAGCUGAAAGUACACUGCCUUUCUACCAAUUUCCUGACAAAUGAG